GUGCCAGCCGCCGCGGUAAUACGUAGGAUCCGAGCGUUGUCCGGAAUUACUGGGUGUAAAGGGCGUGUAGGUGGGUCUUUAAGUCGGUGGUGAAAUCCUGCAGCUUAACUGCAGAACUGCCAUCGAUACUGGAGGUCUUGAGUGCGGCAGAGGGAGAUGGAAUUCAUGGUGUAGCGGUGAAAUGUGUAGAUAUCAUGAAGAACACCGGUAGCGAAGGCGGUCUCCUGGUCCGUAACUGACACUGAGGCGCGAAAGCGUGGGGAGCAAACAGGAUUAGAAACCCUGGUAGUCC
rnacentral:rRNA from 1 species